GGUCGACCGGGGUGCGGGUGGUCAGCUCCCGCUCGCUGCGGGCGAGCAGCAGCAGGCCCUCGAUGAGCCGUUCGUGCCGGGCGUUGGUCGCCA
rnacentral:tRNA from 1 species